UGUUAAUUUUACACAACCUCUAUAUAUUGAUCUCUUUGUUCUUCCUUCUUCCUCAGUCGGUCAGCCUGAUCUCAGUGUUUCUGUCCUCUGCUAUUCUGAUGCAACAGUAGAUUUUCGAGUAGCUGAAUAAAGGAAGAGAGCCAUGAAUUUAUCAAGCUCAAUUUCAAGUCCAUUUGCAAAGUUUGAGAGGCAAACUUCUUGUCUGCCUGUGGUAGGUAAAGAUAAAGCAAUCAGGCUUCAAGUGAAAAUGCAGCAGCAGAACAAGUCACCCUCAGGGUUAGCUACAAAACGACAAGCUAUUCAAAUGGUACCUGUGAGUGAG